AAACUACUCCCUCCAUUCCAAAUUACUCGUCAUAGAAAUGGAUGUAUCUAGAACUAAAAUACAUAUAGAUACAUCCAUAUCUGCGACAAGUAAUUCGGAACGGAGGGAGUAGAUA
rnacentral:pre_miRNA from 1 species